rnacentral:rRNA from 1 species
AUGAACGCUAGCGGCAGGCCUAACACAUGCAAGUCGAGGGGCAUCACGAGGUAGCAAUACUUUGGUGGCGACCGGCGCACGGGUGCGUAACGCGUAUGUAACCUACCUAUAACAGGGGCAUAACACUGAGAAAUUGGUACUAAUUCCCCAUAAUAUUCGGAGAGGCAUCUCUCCGGGUUGAAAACUCCGGUGGUUAUAGAUGGACAUGCGUUGUAUUAGCUAGUUGGUGAGGUAACGGCUCACCAAGGCAACGAUACAUAGGGGGACUGAGAGGUUAACCCCCCACACUGGUACUGAGACACGGACCAGACUCCUACGGGAGGCAGCAGUGAGGAAUAUUGGUCAAUGGACGCAAGUCUGAACCAGCCAUGCCGCGUGCAGGAAGACGGCUCUAUGAGUUGUAAACUGCUUUUGUACGAGGGUAAACUCACCUACGUGUAGGUGACUGAAAGUAUCGUACGAAUAAGGAUCGGCUAACUCCGUGCCAGCAGCCGCGGUAAUACGGAGGAUUCAAGCGUUAUCCGGAUUUAUUGGGUUUAAAGGGUGCGUAGGCGGUUUGAUAAGUUAGAGGUGAAAUCCCGGGGCUUAACUCCGGAACUGCCUCUAAUACUGUUAGACUAGAGAGUAGUUGCGGUAGGCGGAAUGUAUGGUGUAGCGGUGAAAUGCUUAGAGAUCAUACAGAACACCGAUUGCGAAGGCAGCUUACCAAACUAUAUCUGACGUUGAGGCACGAAAGCGUGGGGAGCAAACAGGAUUAGAUACCCUGGUAGUCCACGCAGUAAACGAUGAUAACUCGUUGUCGGCGAUACACAGUCGGUGACUAAGCGAAAGCGAUAAGUUAUCCACCUGGGGAGUACGUUCGCAAGAAUGAAACUCAAAGGAAUUGACGGGGGCCCGCACAAGCGGAGGAACAUGUGGUUUAAUUCGAUGAUACGCGAGGAACCUUACCCGGGCUUAAAUUGCAGAUGAAUUACGGUGAAAGCCGUAAGCCGCAAGGCAUCUGUGAAGGUGCUGCAUGGUUGUCGUCAGCUCGUGCCGUGAGGUGUCGGGUUAAGUCCCAUAACGAGCGCAACCCCUACCGUUAGUUGCCAUCAGGUCAAGCUGGGCACUCUGGCGGGACUGCCGGUGUAAGCCGAGAGGAAGGUGGGGAUGACGUCAAAUCAGCACGGCCCUUACGUCCGGGGCUACACACGUGUUACAAUGGUAGGUACAGAGGGUCGCUACUCCGUGAGGAGAUGCCAAGCUCGAAAUCCUAUCUCAGUUCGGAUUUGAGGCUGAAACCCGCCUCCAUGAAGUUGGAUUCGCUAGUAAUCGCGCAUCAGCCAUGGCGCGGUGAAUACGUUCCCGGGCCUUGUACACACCGCCCGUCAAGCCAUGGAAGCUGGGGGUGCCUGAAGUUCGUGACCGCAAGGAGCGACCUAGGGCAAAACCGGUAACUGGGGCU